AUGUUUGGCAAAGGAGCAACAAACUUGGCAGAAAAACCAGAACCCUCCCCCUCAUUCUUGCCCUCCCCCUCGCCCCUCCCUCCCUUUCCCCCUCUCUGUUCAUUCCGGCCUGAGUGGAUCGGGACUAUUACACCUUUGCUCUCUCUCUGUUCUGGUUGUGUGGAUCUGGACCAUUGGAUCAUGUGCAGCUGCAGUUUUCUGUCUGUGUCCCUGAGUGGAGUGUCCAUGAUCCUGCUGCUGAUGGCGGGCUGUGAGACAGAGCAGUUAGACUUCACCCCACCUCCAGACUACGACUACAGCGCCACCUUCAACUAUAGCUUCUACAGCAACGCCAGCGAUGAGGACUUGGACAAGUUCAGCGAACGAUUUAUUGUAGAGGAGACUGCUACCGUGGAAACCAGCGGAGAAACUACAGAGAGCGAUGCUGUAUCACUUCAGCCGUCUCAGGAAAUCUGGAUGUUCGUCUGGACCCUAAUGAUCCUGAAUCUGCAGCAGCUGCAACAAACACUAUGAGACUCACAGGUCUCCGACUCGUCAUGCUCCCCGUGUGUCCAGCAGGAGGCGCUGUAUUGUCACUGGCUGCUCAUUCUGUUUAAUGAAGCAGCAGCUGACAACAGUAUUUCUGCAUGUAGUCAUACUUUUCAUGGUUCAUUUUGUGAUUAGCUGUUGUCAGUUUGAUCCUGCAGAAACCAGUGAAGGUCGCCUGAUCUGAUGCAGGAGGAGUCAGUGCCUCCUGUGACCUUUGACCCCAGCAGAGAGCCACACCUGCUGAAUAUUUGGUGGAGCUCAGCCAAUCACAACUUUCCUUAGUUAACUUGUCAUCACCUCUCUCCACAUGUAAAGUCCAAAUGGAGGGAACCACACAGUGAAACAGGUCUGAACAUUCAGACUGAUGCUGUGGCACUUUCUGUUUUAAUAAUGCAUUAAAUCGUCCUCAGUUUGAGACAUUAUCACGGUGCCUCACAGAGCUUAUCUUACUGUAGUUGAGGUGAUCUAGAUCAAUCUAUCUGAGAUCUGAGAUCAGUGUGAUCCCUCUUGCUUUGGCCAGUUCCAGAUUGUUCUGAGGAGUUUUGGAAGAUAAAUACCAUGAGGUGAUAUGAUUCUGAUUGUCAAAUUAAAAGUCUGAUAAAUAUGGAGUCUUGUCAAACUUCAAGUCCUGCCCAAACAUUGUAUAAGAUGUUAAAUUAUGUUUUCCUGUGGGUAAAUUGUUUUAUUAUAUCAUGAGAAUGUUAAAAUUAACUAUUUACAUUGAAACAUUGUGGUUCUAUCACUUUAAUAUUUGUUGUCUUGCAAUGAAAAGCAUGAAAUGUUAUUUUGUUGUGGAUAAUUGAUGACUAUGCUGCGCAAGUCAAAGCAGGUGUCAGUCGCCCAGUGAGAGCUGGAUUAGUUUAUGUGACUGAACCUGAGGCUGCCACACAAGCUAUGAAGGAAAGAAGCCGGAGGAAAUGGACUAAAUAUGACCCGUGGACUGUAACAUGUUAAAUGCUGAGGAUCCCGUCUAAACGUUGAACUAUGUCCAUAUUACUAGUCCUUUUCCUGUUCUGUAAUUUUUAACAUAUUGUGAGUUUAAUCAGUGGUUCCGUGAUAAUUCAACAGGUCCAAUUAGCGUCUGCUUCUGAUCCAACUAACUGAAUAAACCAGUAUGACCCACUGAUCCUGGACA
ensembl:lncRNA